rnacentral:rRNA from 1 species
CCUACGGGAGGCAGCAGUGGGGGAUAUUGGACAAUGGGGGGAACCCUGAUCCAGCGACGCCGCGUGAGUGAAGAAGUAUUUCGGUAUGUAAAGCUCUGUCAGCAGGGAAGAAAGAAAUGACGGUACCUGACCAAGAAGCCCCGGCUAACUACGUGCCAGCAGCCGCGGGAAUACGUAGGGGGCAAGCGUUAUCCGGAAUUACUGGGUGUAAAGGGAGCGUAGACGGUUAAGUAAGUCUGGAGUGAAAGGCCGGGGCCCAACCCCGGGACUGCUCUGGAAACUAUUGAACUUGAGUGCAGGAGAGGUAAGCGGAAUUCCUAGUGUAGCGGUGAAAUGCGUAGAUAUUAGGAGGAACACCAGUGGCGAAGGCGGCUUACUGGACUGUAACUGACGUUGAGGCUCGAAAGCGUGGGGAGCAAACAGGAUUAGAUACCCGAGUAGUC